rnacentral:tRNA from 1 species
GGAGAUUUAGCUCAGCGGCAUAAGCGCCUGCCUUGCAAGCAGGCAGUUGUGAGUUCAAUCCCUGGUAUCCA